GAUGAACGCUGGCGGCGUGCCUAACACAUGCAAGUCGAGCGAUUCUCUUCGGAGAAGAGCGGCGGACGGGUGAGUAACGCGUGGGUAACCUGCCCUGUACACACGGAUAACAUACCGAAAGGUAUGCUAAUACGAGAUAAUAUGCUUUUAUCGCAUGGUAGAAGUAUCAAAGCUUUUGCGGUACAGGAUGGACCCGCGUCUGAUUAGCUAGUUGGUAAGGUAACGGCUUACCAAGGCGACGAUCAGUAGCCGACCUGAGAGGGUGAUCGGCCACAUUGGAACUGAGACACGGUCCAAACUCCUACGGGAGGCAGCAGUGGGGAAUAUUGCACAAUGGGCGAAAGCCUGAUGCAGCAACGCCGCGUGAGCGAUGAAGGCCUUCGGGUCGUAAAGCUCUGUCCUCAAGGAAGAUAAUGACGGUACUUGAGGAG
rnacentral:rRNA from 1 species